rnacentral:piRNA from 1 species
UGAAAACCUCUGGCAAUCAAACGUGCCU